rnacentral:rRNA from 1 species
UACGUAGGGUGCGAGCGUUAAUCGGAAUUACUGGGCGUAAAGCGUGCGCAGGCGGUUCGUUGUGUCUGAUGUGAAAGCCCCGGGCUUAACCUGGGAAUGGCAUUGGAAACUGGCGAGCUGGAGUGUGGCAGAGGGGGGUGGAAUUCCGAGUGUAGAGGUGAAAUUCGUAGAUAUUCGGAGGAACACCAGUGGCGAAGGCGGCUCGCUGGUCCAUUACUGACGCUGAGGUGCGAAAGCGUGGGGAGCAAACAGG